UACGUAGGGGGCUAGCGUUGCCCGGAAUCAUUGGGCGUAAAGCGCGUGUAGGCGGCUCGAUAAGUCUGCUGUGAAAGUCCAGGGCUCAACCCUGGGAUGCCGGUGGAUACUGUCGAGCUCGAGUCCGGAAGAGGCGAGUGGAAUUCCUGGUGUAGCGGUGAAAUGCGCAGAUAUCAGGAGGAACACCAAUGGCGAAGGCAGCUCGCUGGGACGGUACUGACGCUGAGACGCGAAAGCGUGGGGAGCAAACAGG
rnacentral:rRNA from 1 species